CAGACCCUAUCAAUGAAAAGGUUUUGGAAAACUAAAUAAUAUUAAGUUUUAACUGCUUUGGAUUCUUUUUUAAAAAAGACAACAUAAUCAGAAAAUGUGAGAGAAUACCUAGUCAAAAACUAAAAGCGUAUUCAUCUUCCUCACAAAGAAACUCUCUCUCCCUCACUCGUACUCGUCACCUCUCCAUCUCUCUCAACCUAAAAUUUUCGCACGCUCGCAAUCGCUUGCAAUGCUAACCUCACUCACCCAUCGCUACCCAUCGCUCUUCUCUCGUCUCCCUCUCUCAACCUAAACACAGAAAAAAGAUUUCCGGUAGAGAAACGAAUAGGACGUUUUACCUUUGGUGGUGAUGGUGAGCUUAAACCUCUUCACUCCGCUAGGUUCCUCCUGCAGUCAACAAAAUCAAGCUCCGCUUCCAAAAGAUUAGGGUUUUCGGAUGUGGCCUCUAGAGCUCAAAGAAGAAAAUUUCCAGAAGUCUUUUUGAUGCUCAGAAGUGCUUUUAUCUUGUUUCACGCUACACUUCCGGAAACGGUUAUGGUUGGUUGAUUUGUGGUUUCGUCCAAUGCAUCAAUAUCCAUUGAUUCUAAAAUAUUCUGAUUUUGAUGAUUGUGUGUCGCACUGGGAAGUUGGGACUGCCAAAAUGUUGACUGUUGAAUAGCUGUGGAAUCGCUUGCACGAGCAUUGCUUUUCUUAACCUUCUUCAACUUCCUCAAGAAAUACCAGAAUUUGGAUUUGGCACGAACUUCAUUGGUUGCCCAAAGCUUCAUGCGGUAAAUCUUCGGGUGCUCAUCGGUUUCCGUUGGAAGACCCCUUCCGACGACCCGGUACUGGUGAAACUUUGCCUUAACCAUUUUUACGAUGAGCAGCGGUUCCGAUUGCGACUCGCCGCCGAUUCAAUUUUUGCUGUUUUGUGAAUUAUUGUUUGUUGCAGGUGAACAAAUGGUGUUAUUGCAGAAGUUGAUGCAGGUUUUAAUGCUUCCAUUUGAUACCUAGUGGGAUUCCGGCUAGGUGUACAUUACUCGGAACAGGGUAAUUUGCAAUAUCCCAAAGGAUAGAAACUGAGCCAUCUAAAGAGCUACGGUGUUGCUAGCUUAAAAGACACUGAAUUAUGCUUGCAUUUGAUUCAGUAAUAUUUUAUCCCUCCUGCUCCAAGGAGUCCCCGGACCUGUCGGUGUAAAUCUGCUACAUUGUUGACGAAACCUCUGCUCAAUUCCAAUCACCAUGACUACAACAGUUUUGGAGUGAACCUCACAAACUUUGUGCCUUUCGAGAGCUUUCGUUCUUCUUGAUGACGUGGACACGGUCACAGCAACAGCAGUUAAUUCUAACAAAAAUGCAUCAGCUAUAUUGCUUAAGAGGGAGCCUUGAUUCGGAAGCUGGUAUAACGGGAUUUGCAAGUGAGAGGUGACCAAACAAUCAUCCACAGUAGCCUUUGAACUUAACACAGUACUCAAAUCUAGCUCAAAAGGGGCGGUCGGACGGACUUGAAGCCAAAGUAACAACAAUCAUGCCUCGUAGUUCACAUCAUGCUGAAACAUUUACGCCUUCCUAUGUGUGUCCUUCUGCAAUGCCUUAGAUUGAAAGCUGGAACUCCAUCGACGGACUCGGAUGUCACAUGCUUUUCUGGUGCUUUGACAACAUCUUCAAUUUUACCUUGGGAUCAUUAUUGUAGGCAAGCAUCUGACAACUAUCUUGCGACCCCCACUCAAAUCUGUAUGCCGGUCAUGCUCAAGUGAUCAUAUAUGGCUGCACGCAGCCAAUCAGCAGUGCAAAAACAGUUAUGAUUAUUGUAUAUAGUUCCAUCAUUCUUAAAAUUGGAAUUCUGUCAAAGAAACUGCAGAGAAAAUGUUCCGUCAUUGGUCCGAAACAUAAAAAUGUUUUGUUGCUUGUAUGAAUCAAAUUUGCAAUAUUAUUUUCCAAAGUUGUUAUCUUUA